AUUAGUUUCUUUGACAUUGAUCUAAUGCAUUUUAAUGUGCAGAAAGUUCUGCUCAGUUUAUUAUUUUACUUCAUCAUCUGAAGUUGUACUUUCUUUUGUGUUUCAUGAGAUGUACUCGUGCUGAUGGGAGAAAUAUAUGGUAAUCAUUUUGCAAAGUGUUGUACUGAAGUUGAGCUGGAACAUACACAUUUGCGCAUAGGACUUUUAGCCCAAGACAUGGAGAGAGAGAAGGACUGAUUGUAAAUGGUGCUGGUCUUUUACUAAGGCUGCCUGCCAGCAGGAUUGCCCCGUCUUUCUCUUUAUUGAGGACACUGUCGCGAAUCUCUGGAUUAGAAGUAACUUUGUUGAUAUACCUGUGAAUUAUGAGAUCAAGAAAAAGAGGUGCAGGGCCCAGUGUUCAAAGCUACACUUCAGCUUCGUGCCCCGCAGCCAAAGAAACUGACUAGAGAGUGCACUGUUAGGAGAGAGAUUCGAUCUUCGCAUAAUAUUCUGUGGGGAAGUGCUUUCGAAUAGCAUGAUCCUGAGUCUGGAUUCCUCUGUCAGAUUGAAAGUUCAAGUCGGUCAAUUGAUCGAUCUCUUGCUCAUUGUGCAGUUGGUGUAAACUGGAAAUCGAGAAGCUCUGUACAGCCCUUUCAUCCAAUGCCAGAAACUAGAGCUGUAUGGAGACUGCAGCAUUCUGCAAAAGCUAUUUGCUCAGAGCUUCCACAGCAGUCGUCCCAUCAGUGUGAUCAAUCUUCCACCCAAGUUGUGGUGAUAGUGUAUUCUCUGAUGAAAGGUCAAGUGUGAAAAUGAAACUUGUUAACAUCUGGAAUAGCAAGUUACCAGCUCUAGGGGAGUGCACAAGUCCACACGAUGGGGAGUCAAAACAAGGCAUCCUCUUGCCCAAAAGCUGUCUUGGAGUACUCAUGUGGUUGUUGAGAUUGUGGAGAGUGAAAAUCACUUGUAGGGAAUUUUCUCCAAAUUUGAGAUUUUAACAAAAUUGAACCUUGGGACCUCCAAUGUUGAGCCUUUUCAUUUAUUUGUUGGAAAUUGUUACUAAAACUCACUGGAGGCCAAAUGAAUAUCGUAAGGUUUUGAAGGACGACAAGUGUUUGUACCUUGGAUUGAUGAUUGUAGACAAGAGUGAGUAUGACCUACUUUUCACACGUGCUUCUCCUUCCCCAUUGCCGCUAUUUUCCAGUGGGUUUGGGAUUCA